rnacentral:rRNA from 1 species
GUUAAGCGACUAAGCGUACACGGUGGAUGCCCUGGCAGUCAGAGGCGAUGAAGGACGUGCUAAUCUGCGAUAAGCGUCGGUAAGGUGAUAUGAACCGUUAUAACCGGCGAUUUCCGAAUGGGGAAACCCAGUGUGUUUCGACACACUAUCAUUAACUGAAUCCAUAGGUUAAUGAGGCGAACCGGGGGAACUGAAACAUCUAAGUACCCCGAGGAAAAGAAAUCAACCGAGAUUCCCCCAGUAGCGGCGAGCGAACGGGGAGCAGCCCAGAGCCUGAAUCAGUGUGUGUGUUAGUGGAAGCGUCUGGAAAGGCGCGCGAUACAGGGUGACAGCCCCGUACACAAAAAUGCACAUGCUGUGAGCUCGAUGAGUAGGGCGGGACACGUGGUAUCCUGUCUGAAUAUGGGGGGACCAUCCUCCAAGGCUAAAUACUCCUGACUGACCGAUAGUGAACCAGUACCGUGAGGGAAAGGCGAAAAGAACCCCGGCGAGGGGAGUGAAAAAGAACCUGAAACCGUGUACGUACAAGCAGUGGGAGCACGCUUAGGCGUGUGACUGCGUACCUUUUGUAUAAUGGGUCAGCGACUUAUAUUCUGUAGCAAGGUUAACCGAAUAGGGGAGCCGAAGGGAAACCGAGUCUUAACUGGGCGUUAAGUUGCAGGGUAUAGACCCGAAACCCGGUGAUCUAGCCAUGGGCAGGUUGAAGGUUGGGUAACACUAACUGGAGGACCGAACCGACUAAUGUUGAAAAAUUAGCGGAUGACUUGUGGCUGGGGGUGAAAGGCCAAUCAAACCGGGAGAUAGCUGGUUCUCCCCGAAAGCUAUUUAGGUAGCGCCUCGUGAAUUCAUCUCCGGGGGUAGAGCACUGUUUCGGCAAGGGGGUCAUCCCGACUUACCAACCCGAUGCAAACUGCGAAUACCGGAGAAUGUUAUCACGGGAGACACACGGCGGGUGCUAACGUCCGUCGUGAAGAGGGAAACAACCCAGACCGCCAGCUAAGGUCCCAAAGUCAUGGUUAAGUGGGAAACGAUGUGGGAAGGCCCAGACAGCCAGGAUGUUGGCUUAGAAGCAGCCAUCAUUUAAAGAAAGCGUAAUAGCUCACUGGUCGAGUCGGCCUGCGCGGAAGAUGUAACGGGGCUAAACCAUGCACCGAAGCUGCGGCAGCGACGCUGAUGCGUUGUUGGGUAGGGGAGCGUUCUGUAAGCCUGCGAAGGUGUGCUGUGAGGCAUGCUGGAGGUAUCAGAAGUGCGAAUGCUGACAUAAGUAACGAUAAAGCGGGUGAAAAGCCCGCUCGCCGGAAGACCAAGGGUUCCUGUCCAACGUUAAUCGGGGCAGGGUGAGUCGACCCCUAAGGCGAGGCCGAAAGGCGUAGUCGAUGGGAAACAGGUUAAUAUUCCUGUACUUGGUGUUACUGCGAAGGGGGGACGGAGAAGGCUAUGUUGGCCGGGCGACGGUUGUCCCGGUUUAAGCGUGUAGGCUGGUUUUCCAGGCAAAUCCGGAAAAUCAAGGCUGAGGCGUGAUGACGAGGCACUACGGUGCUGAAGCAACAAAUGCCCUGCUUCCAGGAAAAGCCUCUAAGCAUCAGGUAACAUCAAAUCGUACCCCAAACCGACACAGGUGGUCAGGUAGAGAAUACCAAGGCGCUUGAGAGAACUCGGGUGAAGGAACUAGGCAAAAUGGUGCCGUAACUUCGGGAGAAGGCACGCUGAUAUGUAGGUGAAGUCCCUCGCGGAUGGAGCUGAAAUCAGUCGAAGAUACCAGCUGGCUGCAACUGUUUAUUAAAAACACAGCACUGUGCAAACACGAAAGUGGACGUAUACGGUGUGACGCCUGCCCGGUGCCGGAAGGUUAAUUGAUGGGGUUAGCCGCAAGGCGAAGCUCUUGAUCGAAGCCCCGGUAAACGGCGGCCGUAACUAUAACGGUCCUAAGGUAGCGAAAUUCCUUGUCGGGUAAGUUCCGACCUGCACGAAUGGCGUAAUGAUGGCCAGGCUGUCUCCACCCGAGACUCAGUGAAAUUGAACUCGCUGUGAAGAUGCAGUGUACCCGCGGCAAGACGGAAAGACCCCGUGAACCUUUACUAUAGCUUGACACUGAACAUUGAGCCUUGAUGUGUAGGAUAGGUGGGAGGCUUUGAAGUGUGGACGCCAGUCUGCAUGGAGCCGACCUUGAAAUACCACCCUUUAAUGUUUGAUGUUCUAACGUUGACCCGUAAUCCGGGUUGCGGACAGUGUCUGGUGGGUAGUUUGACUGGGGCGGUCUCCUCCUAAAGAGUAACGGAGGAGCACGAAGGUUGGCUAAUCCUGGUCGGACAUCAGGAGGUUAGUGCAAUGGCAUAAGCCAGCUUGACUGCGAGCGUGACGGCGCGAGCAGGUGCGAAAGCAGGUCAUAGUGAUCCGGUGGUUCUGAAUGGAAGGGCCAUCGCUCAACGGAUAAAAGGUACUCCGGGGAUAACAGGCUGAUACCGCCCAAGAGUUCAUAUCGACGGCGGUGUUUGGCACCUCGAUGUCGGCUCAUCACAUCCUGGGGCUGAAGUAGGUCCCAAGGGUAUGGCUGUUCGCCAUUUAAAGUGGUACGCGAGCUGGGUUUAGAACGUCGUGAGACAGUUC